UCCUCCCUCAACCUUCAUUGGAUGGAAUUAUCCCCUGAAUUUCUUGUUCCCCAAUAAAAGGCUACUCCCUGGCGUGUUCACUCUCUCUCUCCUGCUAGCCCUGAGUAAUCCUUGCUGCCCUGCUGGGCGGUUAGAGGUUGGAGCCAGAGAGGGGAGCCGUCUCGGACCUGGCAAUAGAAAUAAGGUAUACCCCAUAUUCUAGAAGUUAAAGCUGACUACUUCAGAAGCCCUAACAAUCAAAGAGGACUUGGACCCUAGUGGAUCACAGGGGGCUCACUCUGGAUCCAGAAGUGAGGAGCUGGUGAGCUGUGUUCGGUCCACACCUUUAUGUGUGUAUUGGAGUGGGGGUGGGUACUCUGAGCCUGGAUUCUAGAGGGGUCGGCAAAGGAAGGGUACAGGGCUGGGGUUGUGGCUCAGUGGAAGAGCACUUGCCUAGCAUGUGUGAGACACUGGGUUUGAUCCUCAGCACCAUGUAAAUAAAUAAAAUAAAGGCAUUGUGCCCAUCUAAAACUA